rnacentral:rRNA from 1 species
GGUGAACGCUGGCGGCGUGCUUAAGACAUGCAAGUCGAACGCAGUCUUCGGACUGAGUGGCGCACGGGUGAGUAACACGUAACUGACCUACCCCCAAGUCGCGAAUAACCAGCCGAAAGGAUGGCUAAUACGUGAUGUGAUGAUCCGCUGUGGCGGACCAUUAAAGACUUGAUCGCUUGGGGAUGGGGUUGCGUUCCAUCAGCUAGUUGGUAAGGUAAAGGCUUACCAAGGCAACGACGGAUAGCCGGCCUGAGAGGGUGGCCGUCCACACGGGCACGGACACACGGGUCCCACUCCUACGGGAGCCAGCAGUACGCAAUCUUCCACAAUGGGCGCAAGCCUGAUCGAGCGACGCCGCGUGAGAGAUGAAGGUUCUCGGAUCGUAAACCUCUGAACCAACGACGAAAGACCCGACAAGGGAGAUGACGGUAGUUGGGUAAUAGCACCGGCUAACUCCGUGCCAGCCGCCGCGGUAACAC